AGUGUCAACAUCCUACAAUUCUAUGAAUCGUUGAAGUUGCUUAUUGUAAGCGGUGUUUGUUUGACAGGUAAGUGGCUAGUUUCAGUAAAAUUAAAAAUUUUCUAUUACCUAGGUUUGGCAGUUUUGGUACAUUUCAAAUUCAUGUUGGCAUUAGCACCACAGAAGAAAAAAAUUUACUUGGAAGGAAAGGUGGUUACUUUCAAGGAGAAUCAUGAAACUAGAGCAUGAUUUACCAUGAACCAUUUGGGAACCAACUUGUUAGCUGCCUUAUAGCUAUCAUCCUUCUGAUGAAAUAACAGCAUUACAGCUGUUAGUUACGUCAAGACAUUAAUCUCAAGAUGCAAGUACUGAGCUUUAACGGAUUUCAAUUUACAGAAGCAAGACAUCCAAUUCUGUUGUUGAGGAGAAAACCAACUACACACCCAGCUAUGAAUGGACACAUAUGUGUAGCAAACCGAAAUCGGUACCAUCGCUGAGCAGUGCCCAAGAAAAUGUCCAGGAGCACGUAACACUAUUCCUUAUUAUUGAUUUCCAUGAUAUCAAUAUUGGAUAUGGAUCACGGGAUCUCAUGUUGAAGGCGAGGGGGAGGAGAACACCCAAUCCGUUAGAAAGCUGAAAAAAGAAAUGACCGUCGAAGAAAGGCACUUAAUCCGUGCCCAAAAGCUACAACUCAUCGAAUCGGACUUUUAUAAGCAUGCCAGCAUUAAUGAAACGGCGCGGACGCUAGAUCUUGAUCUCGAUGUCGUUGUCGUUGAUCAAAUUUUCAACUUUUGGGUUCUUAAACGAAAGUCCAACCGAGACAGACCAUUGCUACCGCCCAAAACCACUGAAACGGAAAGAUUAAGUCAGCAACAACAGCAAGAUAUGGAACGUAUGAAAUUGUUUGUACAGCUACGACAAGACCUAGAGAGGGUUCGAAAUGUGUGUUACAUGGUCAGCCGAAGAGAGAAAUUAUCACGAUCGUAUUUUCGAUUGCGAGAACAAACCUUCCACAAGCAACAGCGAUUUUGUCUCUGUCUGAUCUACAAAAAACUAUCACCCCAGCAGAACUGACGCCAAUCAUGGCUCCAAUGUCUAUGACCUUGUAUAUUUACGUGGGGAAACGAUCCAAAAAGAAGGCUUUGAACAAGUCAUUCAACUCAUAGCAGGCGUACAGUCGAACAUCCCCGCAAUGAAAAAGGAUAAAAAUGGAAUCGUUGGUCGUCCCAAUCAUUUAA